UCGCGCGCCGCUCGUUUCUCAGCCUCUCGCUCCCGUUCUUCUCUCUAUCGGCCGGCCACCGCGACGGCGCUGGGCGCCGGGCGCCGGCGCCGGCAGCGAAAAGCCACCGCGCCGGGCCUCCCUUCCUUUCCUGUGGCAGAGAGAGAGGGGAUCGUGCUUGCGCCCUCCUCUGCUCCCUUACGCGCCCGCCUCUGUCUCUCUCUGUGCUGCAGCUGGGUCGGGGCUCCGCCGGCCGCCGGCGGCGACGGCACGCCGCCGCGCCGCGCGAGCACCCUUUCUCCUUCCCCUUCUUUUCUUUCUCCUUCCACCUACAGCUCCAACGCGAGUGAGACAGGCGGCUGCGCCCCCUCUCACCCCCUGUAUUUUUGUGGUCGUCGGCGUCGGAGCAGCCGGUGGUUUCGCCGUUGCCAUUCCCUUCGCCGGCUGCGCGUUCCCCUCUGGUGAGCGCGCCGCCGUCGAACGGAUCGGCCGCGGUACACUUUGCCCCAAUCAGGGGUUGGUUCUUCGUCCCUGCACCUCGGCUUGCCGAUGCGUGUGGGCGGAGUGGAGGCGCUACUUUUUCCGUUGAGGAUUCAUUCUUUGCCCUUCUAGGGUUCUUUUGGGGAGGGAUCUUUUUUCUUUCUCUGUUUAUACUUUGCACCAAAAAUCAUAGCCUAGCAUGGCCUGAUACCAUUGAUAGAACCUCUAGAUCGGUUAGGCUAGAUAUUCCGGUGGUUCUCACCUUCUGCUUGUGGCUCGAGGAGCUUCUGGUGCCGGCCAUGGUGCCGGUGACGGCAGGGAGUAGUGGUGGCGGUGCUUCCUAUCAGCACUGCACUAACCCUAGAUCGGUAGGGGAUUUAGGUGGGGUAUGCGGCGUUGUGACGAACCUCGUGCUGCGAGCCGCUAGCCCCCACCUCUUUAUAUAGUGCAGGUGACAGGGGCCCGUCAGCCUGGGCGUUCGGGUACCCGUACCCGUUACCCGAACCCGAACCGAACCGUAAUAACCGAAAUGUGGGUUAAUUCGGGUAUCGGUCUUCGGUACGGUUCUUAUUUUCAGACUGUUCAGUCUUCGGGUAAGGGUUCGGUUACUAGUCUCGAAAACCCGAACAAACCAUAUUAACCGAAGUUUAUAUAAGCAACGUCUCACGCGAUCACUGGGUCACACCACACAUGCGGCUGCGCGGCCCAGGCCCAACUCACCUCUCCCCACCGCUCGUAUAAAGCCUCACACGGUCCCACCCUCACAGUCACACGAAACCCUCGACGGCUCGACCCCUCCUCCCUCUCGUCCUAACCCUAGUCCCCAGCGGCGGCGGCGGCGGCGGCUGUGACGCAGGAGGCGGGAUGGCGCGUCGGCGCGUGAUGGCGUGAGGCACGUGGGCAGGUCAUGAUGCUGUAGCGAUGCGCCGAACUGCCGAAGGAGCCGCAGUUGCUGGAUCGAGUGGAGACGGAGACGCGCGAGCCACCGGCCGGAGUCAACGCACUGAGCACGGUCGACGGCAGCAACAGCAAGUGAUCAACGUGAGUGUGAUGGCAGAACAAAGUUCUCGUAUUUCGCAUUCAGACACCUCCCCUUACAACGCUUCGAACUUGGAGAAGGACAGUCAUGAUGGGCAACAGCUCCCCGACCAGCAGCAGAAGGAGACGACCGAGGCUGAGAAGAAUACAGAAAAUGCCAAGAAAAGGAAGGAAAUGGCUCCACGGUCGGAAGUUUGGAAUCAUUUUAGCAAGGAAGUAAAUGCCACGACAGCAACAUGCAACUAUUGCAAAAGUGAGCUUGCUUGUGGUUCUAAAAGGAAUGGUACAUCAUCCUUGUUGAAGCAUUUGACAACCUGCAAGAGAAAUCCUCAUAGCAACAAGGAUGACAAGCAACCAACUCUACAAGCUACUCCGAAUCAGGGGGAUGCUAGUAAGUGUUCACUCACUACCUGGAGAUUUGAUCAGGAUAAGCUUAGAGAUGCUUUGGCUGAAAUGGUAAUUGUGGAUGAGCUUCCGUUUGCAUUUGUUGAGAAGCCAGGAUUUAGAAGGUUUGUGGCAAAGGCUUGUCCUCGUUUCAAUGUCCCAUCCAGGAGGACGGUUACUAGAGAUUGUGUCCGCAUUCAUUAUAGGGAGAAAGUCAAGCUAAAGAAAUUCUUCAAAGAAUCUUGUGAAAGAGUUUGUGUAACUACCGACACAUGGACAUCUUCCCAAAAGCAGAAUUUUAUGUGUGUGACAGCCCAUUUUAUUGACAAUGACUGGGUUCUGCAUAAGUGGAUCAUUGGGUUUUUCUUGGUGAGGGGUCAUAAGGGGGAAGACAUUGGGAAGGACCUGGAGAAGUGUUUGGUUGAGUGGGGCAUAGAUAAGGUGUUUUCAGUAACAGUUGACAAUGCCUCACCAAAUGAUGGAGCAGUAAGCUACAUAAAGAGGAUCAUGAACAGUGCCAAUGCAAGCAUAGGGAGAGGAGAAUAUAUGCACAUGAGAUGUGCUGCUCACAUUCUGAACUUGAUAGUUACCGAUGGGCUAAAAGAGUUGGAUAUCUCGGUGAAGCGAGUCCGUGCUGCAGUCAAGUUUGUUAAGAAUUCUCCAGCUAGAAUUACUAAGUUCAAGAAGUGUGCUGAAUUAGAGAAAUUGGCAAAUAAAGGUUUCUUGUCACUUGAUGUAUGCACUAGAUGGAACUCCACAUUCUUAAUGCUGAAAGCUGCAGCCACAUAUGAGAAGGUGUUCGUGAGGUAUGAAGAAGAGGACCCAUACUUUGCAAUUGAGCUAAAUGGCGACAAAAUGCCAGGAGUGCCUCAACCAGAAGAUUGGGAUAAUGCUUCAAAGAUGGCAGAGUUUCUUGAGCAUUUCUAUAAGCUUACCCUUCGUGUUUCAGCCUCAAAUCAUUGCACAUCUCACAUCUUCUUCCAUCAAAUUGCUGAUAUCAUUGUCUUGCUGAGGGCUUGGUGUGGAAGUGGAGACCCUUUGCGGAGAGAGAUGGGAGAAAGGAUGCUGGACAAGUACAACAAGUAUUGGGCAGAUCACAAGAGCUUCAACAUCUUGAUCUUUGUGGCUGUUGCUCUUGAUCCAAGAUACAAGUUGUCAAAUUACAUCAAGAUUGCAACUUUUGAAAUGUUUGGGCAGAUCAAUGGAGAGGAAGUGUGGACAAAAAUGAAUACAACUCUUACAAAUCUGUUCCAAGAGUAUUUUAAGUUAUAUGGUCCAACUGAGCAAGAAGUGCAGCCUGAUGAUGCACCUAGCUUUGAAGAGGACAGCAGCGAAAGCUUGAUGAGUUCCUUGAUUGCAAAGAGAAUGAGAAUGAAUGACUGUGGAAUCAGCAUUAGCCCUUCGAAGUCUGAACUUGAAAAGUAUCUUACAGAGGAUAAUGAAGCAAACAGCAGCAAAUUCAACAUUCUUGAGUGGUGGAAGGUCAACUCAUCUAGAUUCCCUGUGCUAUCACGUUUAGCUCGUGAUGUCCUAGCUUUCCCGAUAUCUACAGUCGCAUCAGAGUCAGCUUUUAGCACCGGUGGACGCAUUCUUGAUGAGUUCCGAAGCUCGCUCACUCCAUUCAUGGUGCAGGCACUAAUUUGUACUCAGGAUUGGUUGCGAAGAGAAAUUCCUGUUAACAAUGAAGAGAAUGAAGAGCUACUUGCCAACCUAGAGGAUGGUAAUUAUGCAAACAAGAUACUCUUAGAUAUGUGCUUUCCAUUUUGUUCAUACUUACAUUCUCUCGCUUACUCCAUUUAUUUCAGCGAUACUUCAAGAAUUGUCUGAUCUGAGCGUUGCUAAUGCUAAGUCCGGUACAAGUGCUGGUGUCCACAUCACCAUUGAUGACAUCGAAUCAUAAGUCUUGGGAAUAGCAGAAGAACAUCAAGUGUGCCGCCAGCCCGCCAACCUAAGGAACACUCUCAGCUCACUCUCAGCUCGCCCUCAAGGAUACUUCAUACUUGUUAAGCCCUUAAAAUAUUAGCUAUGGUUAUCUCAGCUUGGACCUAUUACUAGUGUCAUGUGUGUGUUUGUGACUGUUUGGACCUAUUCAGCUUGAACCAUGUUUAUUGUGUGUUUGGACGACUUGUGUUGUGCACUGGUGUGUUGGGAGCUAUCACCUAUGAGAGUAUGAGACAAUGAUGUGAGUCUAUUAUUGUCAAAUUUGAUGUCAUGUUGCUGAAUGCAUGAAUCUGUGCUUGUGUUGUC